CUACAAUGUCUUUUUUUUUUUUAGAUCCGUCUGCAGAAAUGCACUCCAUACUCAAGAACUUGCGCAUUGCCAGGAUGUGGUGGUCAAAACAAACGGGAUGUGCUGCAAAUAGACCUCACAACUUGUUUAACAAUCUAAAAAGUACAUGGGAAUCUGUGAAAGUGCCAACUUCAACGCAUCAUGGGAAAGGAUGAUAAUUUAUGGGAAAUUUUGUUAGGGAAAUCAUUAGGUGAACAUCCAAUCAGCGUGUGUGUCAUUUGACAAAUUUGAAGGCCAGCCCCUUUAAAGCCCUUAUUUGAUUUGACUGCUCUAUACAUCACAGCCCAGCCAAAAGAGGAAAUGAAGGGGG